UGCCGGACUUGACACCUGCUUUCUCCCGCCCAGUCCUCUAUGACAAAGAGACCAAAUGCGCAACUGCCCCGCAGACCGGGUUUCCGCGGGCUUUGCCCCGCCCACCGUCCAAGAAGAUGACCGUGAACCCCACCCCCGCUUGCCCCACGGAGCGACCUGGCCUCGCCCUCCGCCUCUCCUUGGGGCUGGGGAGCCCCCUGCGGCCCGCUGCGCCUGCGCAGGGCAACCUGUGGGCGUGGCGCGAGGGGGCGGAGCCCGCGGGCUCGGAACCAGAGCUGCGAGGUCCGGGUGCGGGCUGCCUGGUCGGUCUGAGCCGAGGCGGAGGGAAUUACCCCUUCCUCAGCCGCCGGAAGUAACCGAAAGUAAACUUUGCCGUUCGGUCCGCGGCGCCUCAGCCUGAUGCGCGCGGGUGGCAGCGCUUGUCCCCGUCCCUCGGCGCCAUGGACGCGACGGCGUUGGAGCGGGACGCGGUGCUGUUCGCGCUGUUGCUGUGCAGCGGGAUCACGAAGGCUGCUACUCCGAGGUGAUGUUUUACUACAAGGAAGCUGCACAAGCCUUAAUUUAUGCUGAGAUGGCAGGAUCAAGUCUAGAACAUAUCCAAGAAAAAAAAUCAAUGAGUAUCUGGAGAGAGUUCAAGCUCUGCGUUCGGCAGAGCAGAAGCAUUGAGUGAGCCCUAGACAAAGCCAUUUUGCAAAGUCAAGUCAACAAAUAUUAAAACGGACACUCCUCCUGUGAGAACACAUUUUCCUCUAGGACCUGAUUCCUUCCUUGAGGAGCCUCAGGCAUUUAUAAAUCCACAGUCAUGUGAUGUGCAAGGACAGAGAUACACAGCAGAAGAAAUAGAAGUGCUCAGCGAUAGAUGGGGCAAGCUGCCAUUAUCGCCUAAACAAAAAACUGUGUUUUGCAAAUGGGUACGGCCAGAAGACCUCAUCAACAAUCCUACAAUGAUAUACACUGUAUCCAGUUUUAGUAUAAAACAGACAAGUAUCCCAGUCACCACCCAUCAAAGAAGCUUCUUUUUCAACAGACAGCAAUUAUUAGAGUUCCAUGAUGGGCCACACACAGAGACUGUCACCGAACUGCCCAUGGCACAUCUGCAAUGCAAACUCUAUACUUAAGACUCAGAGAACAUAGAACAAGGAAUGAAGAAAACACUAAUGCAUAUUUCCAUUCUCAUCAA